UCACCUCUCUCGUCGGAUGAUUUUUGAGCUCGUCGUAUUAUACUCGUAGCCCGCUGCAACGACAGAGAGUUCACUUCCUGGUGAAUCCAUGUUCUAUGGCGUCGCUUGUACAGGACAUAACCUCCGUAUACCAUGCCCAAAAAUAAAAUCAACAGCACGAACCCGAGAAGAAUGUUGAAAAUGCCAACUCGUGUAUAAAAAUCUUCUAGGUUAAUUCUGGAACUGGCCCCAGCUGGCCGAUUAUUAUUAUUUUUUUUGACUGUGAUGACUGACACAUUUUAUUCACUGCUUUUAAUUUGAAUUUAAACUGACAAAAUUAACAGUUUGGCAGGGACGCCAUGUAAUGUUGUACUUUGGGAAGUGUUAAAGGGAAACGUCUUCUUGCGUGUAUUCCAUGUUUAAUUAUCAUCUUAAUCCUAGUUUACAAUUAUGAAGAAGCCUAUGUUUCUGGGUGGUCCGCCUUAUUAAGGGGGACGUACGAGAUUACACCAAUUAAUUAUGUUAUAUACUAAAUGCUAUGCUAACACUAUGCUAUACUAUGCUAUAAUAUAUAAUUAUACACACUUCAGCCCUACCCUUCAAACCGAAACGUAUUUCUUCUUUGCGUUAAAAAUAAGCAAGGUGGUUGUACCCAUGCGCGCUCACAAGACCCCAUACCACCAGUACAGACGUCCUACUACUGGCAGAGAUGACCGAUAGACUUGUAGAGUAGUGUAAGUAGACUCAAUGAUAAUAUUUUAUAUGCUUAUCUUAAGGAUACAUUUAACAUCACCUACUAUCCAAAUUAUGAAGGGAUGAUGUAUGCGAGAAAUUAUGAAGGAAACAUUUUGGUAUUCACGAAUUGGAACCGGAACAAGCUUUACUGUUGGAAUAUGGAUACUCCGUAUGAAGAAGAAAAUGUUGAUUUACUCUCGACGCUCGAUGAGACUCAAUAUAAAUUUUCAGCCUUAGAAGCAUCCGGUAACGGAUUUUUCGGACUAAUGCAGAGAACUUUAAAUAGCACGUCGUCAAAGUUCAAUGAAAGCAAAUACAAUAUUUGGUUUUUCUCAAUAAACUUUAGCGAGAUGCUGGAGGGAUCAAAAUGCACCAAGAGUAACCAGUGCACGGAUUACCUGACGCGGAGAUCGGCGAGCCAAACAUUAUUAUUUUUAGGAAGAAUAGUACCAAAAUACGUAUCUGAUAACGUCAUUAGAAAUAUUGAAAAUAUGUGGAAGUAAGGAUUUUUUGUUGUUAAUUUAAAGGAAUAUAUUCUAAAAUAUUUGAUAGCCUGCAAGGUAAGUCUGAGUACAGGGCAUAUCUGAUGGUAAGCGAUCAACGUCGUUCGUGAAGGUCAGCAACCAUUUUCGAACUAUUUAUUGCUGAGGACUCCCCCUUCCUGUCUCAUUUGAAGAAAGAGUUGCCGAACCGGUUAGAAAACACCAUGAAACAAAAUAUGUCUGGAAAUUAAGUUCCGAUCAAGUGCUGAUGAAGUAGAAACGUGAGGUGAUGAGAAAACUGAAAUCACGUGAUCAUGACAAACAAUUCUUUGCAAUUCUGCUAUUGGAACUAAUUAUACAACACACAAAUUUAAUCGAUUUCUUAAUCUUCUUCUUUCUUUAUACCCGAAGAACUUUUCAGUUAGUUUGCUAUUAUAAUGCAAUUGUGAUGGCGAUCUUGACUCAAGUUAGGCUGAUACUAAUUACAUUGUUUAUUCCAUAAGCCCGGACAAUUGUUUAGCACGUUGUGAAUGCGCAAGGGUCUGUAUCACAAUUACACUCAUUGCUGCCAUGAAGCCAUUGUGUGGUAUAUUUAAAUGGCAGAACAGCCUUUAUCGAAGCGUAUUUUUAAAUUUUACCCAGAACUAAGUUUUCUUUAAAUGGACUUCGAAAAGUGGUCAGCACGAAGUCCAACGUGGGCUCUGUUUAAUAUUUUCGUCAAUUAGAAACAAUUCGCUAACGAAUUUUUGGAAUAUAUUUUUUCAGUGAUUGUCAUAUUUCUGUUCUAGUGUCACGGGCAUCAUGAAUUAGGACACUCUACAUAGAGACUCGAAACGUGACCUUCAAAAACACAACGGCGUUUUAGUUUUUGUAGUAGUAAUAAAUAAACUAAU